rnacentral:rRNA from 1 species
AGGAUUGCGGCUUGCCUAUACAUGCAGUCGAGCGGACAGAUGGGAGCUUGCUCCCUGAUGUUAGCGGCGGACGGGUGAGUAACACGUGGGUAACCUGCCUGUAAGACUGGGAUAACUCCGGGAAACCGGGGCUAAUACCGGAUGGUUGUUUGAACCGCAUGGUUCAGACAUAAAAGGUGGCUUCGGCUACCACUUACAGAUGGACCCGCGGCGCAUUAGCUAGUUGGUGAGGUAACGGCUCACCAAGGCGACGAUGCGUAGCCGACCUGAGAGGGUGAUCGGCCACACUGGGACUGAGACACGGCCCAGACUCCUACGGGAGGCAGCAGUAGGGAAUCUUCCGCAAUGGACGAAAGUCUGACGGAGCAACGCCGCGUGAGUGAUGAAGGUUUUCGGAUCGUAAAGCUCUGUUGUUAGGGAAGAACAAGUGCCGUUCAAAUAGGGCGGCACCUUGACGGUACCUAACCAGAAAGCCACGGCUAACUACGUGCCAGCAGCCGCGGUAAUACGUAGGUGGCAAGCGUUGUCCGGAAUUAUUGGGCGUAAAGGGCUCGCAGGCGGUUUCUU